rnacentral:rRNA from 1 species
UGCAUGUCCCAGACUAAGCUUUUCAUAGCGAAUCUGUGAAUGGCUCAUUAUAACAGUUAUAAUGUUAUUGGCUAUCUCUGUUACAUGGAUACCUGUGGUAAUUCUAUAGCUAAUACAUGCUUGCAGACCCAACUUAUUGGAAGAGUUGUUCUUGCUAGUUCUAGAACUAAUCCUGGCUUGCCCAGGGAUUUUGGUGAAUGACAACAAGACAAUGAAUCACAUAGCUUCUGCUGGUGAUACAUCUUUUCAAUUUCUGACCUAUCAGCUUUUGAUGGGAAGGUAUUGGCUUCCUGUGGCAAUGACGGGUGACGGAGAAUUAGGGUUUGAUUCCGGAGAGGGAGCCUGAGGAAUGGCUACCACAUCUAAGGAAGGCAGCAGGCGCGCAAAUUACCCAAUCUUGACAUAAGGAGGUAGUGACAACAAAUAACAAUACAGGGCAUCCAUGUCUUGUAAUUGGAAUGGGCUUAAGCCAAUCAUUUUUGCGAGAACCCAUUGGAGGGCAAGUCUGGUGCCAGCAGCCGCGGUAAUUCCAGCUCCAAUAGUGUAUAUUAAAGUUGUUGCGGUUAAAAAGCUCGUAGUUGAAUUACUGCUGGGGACAACUGGUACGCCUUCUGGGUAAGUAUUAGUGUGUCUCGGGCAUAUUCUUGGGUAUCGCUUCUGCACUUGACUGUGUGGUGUGCUCUCCAGGGUUGUUACUUUGAGGAAAUCAGAGUGCUUCCAGCAGGCAAUUGUUUUGAAUACAUUAGCAUGGAAUAAUAAGAUGAGACUUCAAAUUAUUUUUGUUGGUUUCAAUGAUGAAGUAACGAUUGAAAGGGAUAGUUAGGGGUAUGUGUAUUCAAUUGUCAGAGGUGAAAUUCUUGGAUUUAUUAAGACAAACAAAUGCGAAAGCAUUUGCCAAGGAUGUUUUUUUUGAUCAAGAGCGAAAGUUAGGGGAUCGAAGACGAUCAGAUACCGUCCUAGUCUUAACCAUAAAC